AAACCUCAUGGUUCCUAGUCAGAUUCGUUAACCACUGCGCCACAACAGGAACUCCCUACAACAGCCUCUUGUAGUAGGCUGGUCUCCCUGUGUUCACACCAGCCUCUGCUCCCAAAUCAAUUGUCUGCAUUGCAGUCAAAGGAAUCAUUUUAAAAUGCAAAUUUAAUGUCAUAAUCUGAUUAAAAUCUUUCAAUUGCUUCGCAUUGCUCUUAGGCAUCAUUAACAAGAACUCUAAAGUCCCACAUAUUUGACUCCAUUUUGCUCUAGUCUCACCUCCCAUGAUUCUCCUCUCCCACUGCCUGUACUCCAGUCAAGUUUGCCUUCUCUGCUUCUACCCACAGAGUGCUCUCACCUGCCACAAAUAUUUUGCACUUGCUCACCCCUCAGAAGGAAUGUUCUCCUCUGCUGGCCUCACUGACUCAUAGGUCAGUUCUCAACUCAAACAGCUUUCUCACGGAAAGCAUCCCAGAGCCACAGACAACAUCACAUCCCCUGUUAUACACUGUACCACACUCUAUUAAUUUUGCCACUAUUUGUAAUUAUAUAUAUAUUUUUUUGUGAUUAUUUGAGGUGGGGAAGCCUGUGGUUUCAACUGUGGCUCAUUGUUUCCAAAGAUGUCUUUCCGUGUCUGCUGUGUUCUCUUCCCUGGAUGCACGUCCCCUCUCAGCUUUAGAUACAAGACUGGACUUAGAGCAGAGGACCUUAAAUUACAAACUCUGAAAAUACUUCUCUUUUCUGCCCCUUUGCCAACCUCACUUCUAGCAGUCUCCCUCAGCUAGGAUUCUAGGCUACAGAUAAUCAGGACAAGUUAGACUCUGUGGCUCCCCUGUUUGUACCACUUGCUUGGGGUGUUGAGUAUGGUACUAGAACUAGGCUCGGUAUGGAAGCUGGACUCUAUAAGAUCAUUCCCCCACUGCUAUACCCUGCCCAUGCCCCUGUGUCUGUUCACCUUAAUUGAAAAAGCACUCAAUGAGCCUUUCUGUUCUAUGACAUUUAUGUUUAUAGAAAUCUACCUCACCCAAAGUCUGAGGUUUGUUUUUGCUCUCAGUGGUCUCUCAUAUUUGAUCUAAAUUUCACUCUAUUUGGCUGCUAUUCUUCAUAUUUGUCUUCCUUAUUCCCAUGUGAACACAGUGUUUUCCUCCCUGAAUUUAUUCUUUGGGGAUUAGGGGGAGGGUUAAUUUUUUUAUUGUUUUUAUGAGUUUCAGGGAGGAACUUAACAUUCAUUCAAGUGGCUUAUACUCCAUCAUCUUUUAACUCAAAGUACCUGUAGCUGUGAGGAAAUGUUAACCUGUAGAAGAUGUGUCUGUUUAUUCUGCGGCUUCAUACCCAAGAGAAUACUUGCCCCAGUUUAAGAAGUACUCUGCAGCCUAUUAAAAUAGAACUCCCCCCCACAAUAAAGCAGAGAAUAUUACAAAAUAAACUAAUUAUCCAUGGACUUCACCAAAUAGGCCCACACAUUUUCUAAUGAGAGAAACUGCUUUUUAUAGCACACAUGGGGAAAACACUGUAGAUCCCCAAGUCUCAGAUUACAGAACUGAAAAUGCUUUGUUUGCCAAGACUCUUGCUUUUCCCCCAAAACUGUAUAGAUAAACACCUACCAUUAGUGGCAGGCACAUAAUAGGUCCUCAAAAUGUUAACUCUCUCUUCUUCUUUUAAUGUAAGAAGGAAAAAUAUGUUUGUUUGUUUAGGGCCACAUCUGCAGCAUACGGAAGUUUCCAGGCUACAGGUCGAAUCAGAGCUGCAGCUGCUGGCCACAGCCACAGCCACAUGGGAUCCAAGCUACAUUUGUGACCUUACACCACAGCUCACGGCAACACCAGAUCCUUAAUCCACUGAGCAAGGCCAGGGAUCAAACCUGAGUCCUCAUGGAUACUAGUCGGGUUCAUUACCACUGAGCCAUGACAGGAACUCUGAAUAAUACAUUUUUAAAGAAAGCUUUAUUAAGUGCCUCCUAGGCACUUUAUUAAGUGCUAGGCACAGUGAUCAAUACCAGAGAUCCCAGUCCAGUGGAGGAGAAGGACAAGUAAACGCAAAUGGGCAAUGGCUACAAACAGUGCUAUAAUAGCAAAGGAUGCUUUAAGAAAACAAAAGUAGACCUUCUUAUCUGUCCUAAAAUGGGAAUGUUGGGGAAGAAGAAUGGGAGCUUCCUACAGCAGGAGAUGCCUAUGUCAAACUAUCAUACUUACAGAACAAAUAGUGAAAAAACACACAGAAAAAGCAAGAAGAAAGGUACCCCAGCAACAGUACAGCAUUGUCCCUAUAAAUAGCCUAGAGACUAGAUUGUGGAAUAUUCAAAGAAUUCGAAGUUCGGUGAAGUAGAACAGCAGAGUGGGAAGAAAAUAGCAGGAAAUGAAUCCAGAGGAGAAUCAAGGACCAUAUCCUUUGGUUCAAUUCAACAAACAUUUACUGAGCACCAAACACGUACGGAGCACUGAGGAUACGAAUACUAAGAUACAGUCCCCACUCUCAAUAAGUUUCAAAUCUCAUGAAUAAAAUCCAACAUGUAGACAGGGAAUGUCAACAGUAUGUGACAAGUGAAAUCAGAGAAGAGUACUUAUCCUGGGAGAGUUAAGAAAAUAUUCACCUUAGCCAAGUCUUUAAAAAUGAGAACAACAUAACCAAAGGAUGGUGCCAUGGGAGUUAGAAAAAAUAUGUCUGGAGUUCCUGUUGUGGCUCAGUGGGUUAUGAACCUGACUGGUAUCCAUGAAGAUGAGGUUUAAUCCCUAGCCUCACUGAGUGGGUUAAGGAUCCAGUGUUGUUAUGAGCUGUGGCGUAGGUUGCAAAUACAGCUCAGAACUGGUGUUGCUGUGGUUGUGGUGUAGGACGGCAGCAGCAGCUCCAACUCAACCCCUAGCCUGGGAACUUCCAUAUGCUGUACCUACAGCCCUAAAAAGAAGGGGAAAAAAAAUAUUUCUGGCAGAAGAAAAAAAAAUAAGUGCAGGCUUUGAGGUGAUAAAUGGUAUGUUGUGCAGGAUACCAACCAAACACAAAUAGUUCAGUAUUUCUGGGCUACAAGGCAUGAAACAAAUGUUUAACCACGAGACUGGAGUGACAAGAAAGGGAGAUCCAUGCCCUGCAAGGAACCUAAAACUUUAUCCCAUAGGUGACACAGCACUACUGGAGAGUUUUGAUCUGGGAGGAACAUACAAUAAUAGGCUGAUCUCUCCGAUACUAGUAUUGAUAAUGGAUUUAAGGGAGUCUGGAGGCUAGGAGAACAAUUAGAAAGCUAUUGCAGUAGUCCAAUAAAAAGAUUCUGAGGGCUUGAAUUAAAGUAAUUAUGUGAUAGAUGGGUAGAGGUGUAAAUAAACAUUAAGAGAUAAGGAGGUGAAAUAAGAAGAGUUUAUUGAUUGGGAAUAUGCAAAAAUGAGGGAAAAGAAAUCAGUGAUGGUAACCAGUUUUCCAAAAAUUAAGAAAGGAAAUGCCUACUACAUGUUGAACUUGUUUAAAUUAUAUUUACUUGUAUUAGCCUAUAAUUGCAGUGAAGAAAGGGACUAUGUUAUUUAGCAUUGAGUUUCCUGUGUCUGGCCCAGUGCCUUCAUAUAAGUAUGCAUUCAAAAAAAUAUAUGUGUAGUUAAUUAGAAAAAUCAAAGGGCUGUUGGAAAUGAUGAGUUUGAUAUUGACUAUAACGAGCUUGAAGACACCUGUAAAGUUUCCAAGUAGAAAUUUCCAGUUGGAAAUAAUAUAGGUUUAGAGCCCAGGAAAUAGAAUUAGAUGCCAUUGGAAUAGCUGAAGCUGUGGGAAUGGAUAAUCUCAGAAAGUGAGGGGGUGGGAACAUUGGCAAAGGAGAGUGCCCUGGGGAUUCACUUAAAUAAAUUUUCACUUUAUUUGACUCAAUGAUUAGGAAAGAUGAACAAAUCGUGCAGCUCAAGAUCCAAGAAUCAUCAGAACCAUCCACUCUGCACUAACUUUUUCAAGAAGGAAAUUCAGUAGUGUUUGAAGUUAGGCGAUUUGCCCAAGUGGACGUAGCCAGCACCCAACGUGACACAGCUCAGGUGUUUUGAUUCUAAAUAGAAUACCUUUCAUUAUUAUUACUAUUAUUAUUAUACAUUAGAAUUUUCAAUGCACAAUGCAGGGGCAACAGCCAUGGUCUUUAAGGUGCCCAGAACCUUUUAAAUGUUCAACCUAUUUCAUAGUAAUUCUAACUUAAAAUAUUCUUAUACACAAGCAGUGCUCAAGCACUGCUCUUAAAACGAAGCAAUGUAAGUAGGACAUAAUUCUUGGGAGAGUUGAUUUUAUAACUGGAUUGUUCGGGUAGCAGGUGUUCUCGAGGGUGAGGGCAACUAUGUUAAAAUUAACAUCUCUAUAUGCGUAGCACAUAAACUAAACAAAUCGGGCUCAACGAAUAUACAUUCUCUGCACUGUUCGCUCCAUUUGAAUGAGCACAGCAGCAGCAGCUCUGAACAUUUGCUCUUGAACUCUGGAACUCUAACUACAAACAGGGUUUGUAACGUUAUGAUAAUGAGAAGCUGUAUUUUAAAAGAGAUCAUUAUUAAAGUGCUCUGCCUUAAUUUGGAGUUGCCUUCCUAUUUCCGCCCAACUUUAUUUGGAAUGAGUUGCAAUUUCUAACCUACCACCAGUAACAGAAGCUCUAUGUGAUUAAGACAAUAAAUAUAUUCACAAAAUGUAAACGCAGCUUUUAGGGCUUUAAACAUCUGCUAUGAAAAUAAAACUUUUACACAGAUUCAUGGGCAAAAUGAAACCUUUCUUCCAAGACAUUUUUUUAAUGGAACUGAAAGGUCUGAAAUACAAGUAACGGUCUCUUCCCAAACCCAAUGUGCAGAUAUAAGCUAAUUCACGUGUGAUAUUGGUCAAUUAUCUGGGUCUUUAUACAGUUGCAGGGCGCACUCAGAGUCGUUUUUGGACUGAUUUAGACAAAGUUGUUCAAUGGGACUAAAACUCUGCAUUCAAGGUUUCAGUUAUAACAAGAUCUAGAUAUUAAAAUUGAAUUGUCCAAAAUCUCUGUCGGUUGUAUUACUAUUUGUAUUGCCAAUGUUCUCACAACAGGAACAACCUUAUGUCAACAUUUAAUAAAUCUUUGCCUUAUUUUCUUUCUUACCCUAGAAAUGCAAGACAGGUGAGGAAACAGCUUAUAUUCAACUCCCUCCUAAUUGGAUAACUUGAUCAGUUUCAGCCAAGAAUUUGAAUGGCUUUUCCACCCUUACACAAUUCAUUACACCAUUUAAAAAUCAGUCUGACAUCCUUGGAAAAUUCACCAAAUAUGGGAAGAGUUUUACAGAUAUUUAUCACCAAAAUGUUAAUAAUAGAGGGAAAAAAAACCCAAAAACAAACUAGAAGUAACCCAAUGUCCAAGAAUAAGGGAAUGAUUACAUAAAGGCUGAUAUAGUAAUUAAAUAAAAGGACAUGCACCAUUUAGAAGCAUGCUUACUCAGGUUAUAUAGCUACAUGAAAAAUACUGCUGGUAUCAACAAGCCUUCACAUAAACCAGAAGCAGUUCAUUCUCUGAUGCUUUAACUGAAUCCACAGAUAGCAGAGUCCUUUGCCACUAUACAUCAUGUUAGAAAAUAGUUUUUAAAUUGUUCCCUGAUGGCUUUCAUCUCUAACGUUUUAACCAGCACCAUUCUAUCCAUGAAGCAAUAUUAAGUUACCACCUUCACCAAUACUAUUUUAUUGAAUCCUCAAAAAAUCCCAAAAGGUAAAUAAUAUUAUUAGUUCACUAGAGUAGUUAUUAACAUUAUUGUGAGUGGUUUAUCCCAAGACAUUAAAUAUAUUUGAUUAUCUUGGGGGGGGGAUCCCAUUCCUGUAAGUCAACCAGUACAGUGACUAAAUAUCUCCUUUUCUAGCAAAUGAUAAAAUAAAACCUCAUUAUUUAGACACUGUCUAGACAGUACUGUCCAAGAGAAAUAUAACGCAAGGCAUAUAUAGAAGUCAUGGAUGUAACUUUAAGUUUUCCAGUAAUUGCAUUAGGAAGCAAAAAGAAACAAAUGAAAUUGAUUUU
rnacentral:lncRNA from 1 species